UCUGUCUUUCCAUUAGUUUUUCUAUAGUAAUUCAUAAAAGGAGAAUAUUUACCAGAUAUUCUGAGUACUACUUGAAUAUAAUCACUUUCUCUGUUUUGAACAGAAGGCCUAUAAAGUGUGCUUGUACACUUCUAUGGAAGACUUAAACUGAAAGAAUCAUUUUUUUCCUUAUUUGCAUAGCCUGCUGAAGAUGGACCUCAGUGUACAUAUGUUGAAGACAAUAAAAUUAUCAUUAUCCAGGCAAUGCCUCCUAUCCAGGGCCACAGUGCUGUACCAAGAGCUCACACUGAACUGAUUACCUGCAAAUCUCUCCCGCUGAAGAUAAUGUUU
rnacentral:lncRNA from 1 species